rnacentral:tRNA from 1 species
UAGCCUAGUGGUUAAGGCUAUGAAUCGCCAAUCCAGAGAUGGCGGGUUCGAUUCCCGU